rnacentral:rRNA from 1 species
AGAGUUUGAUCCUGGCUCAGAACAAACGCUGGCGGCGUGUCUUAAGCAUGCAAGUCGAGCGGCAAGGGCAGCAAUGCCCCUAGAGCGGCGGACUGGUGAGUAACGCGUGGGUGAUCUACCUUGGGCAUGGGGAUAGCCAUUAGAAAUAGUGGGUAAUACCGAAUACGUUCGUUACCGUGAGGGUAACGAGGAAAGGCGCUACGGCGCCGGCCGGAGAUGAGCUUGCGUCUGAUUAGCUAGUUGGUGAGGUAAUGGCUCACCAAGGCGAUGAUCGGUAGCCGGCCUGAGAGGGUGUACGGCCACACUGGGACUGAGAUACGGCCCAAACUCCUACGGGAGGCAGCAGCUAAGAAUAUUCCGCAAUGGACGAAAGUCUGACGGAGCGACGCCGCGUGGAUGAUGAAGGCCGAAAGGUUGUAAAGUCCUUUUGCUGGGGAAGAAUAAGCGUGGGAGGGAAUGCCCGCGUGAUGACAUGAACCGGCGAAUAAGCCCCGGCUAACUACGUGCCAGCCGCCGCGGU